GACGAACGCUGGCGGCGUGCUUAACACAUGCAAGUCGUACGGUAAGGCCCUUUCGGGGGUCCACGAGUGGCGAACGGGUGAGUAACACGGGAGUAACCUGCCCACAACUUUUGGAUAACGCUAGGAAACUGGGGCUAAUACUGGAUAUGUGCCCCUGCUGCAUGGGGGGGGUUGGAAAGCUCCGGCGGUUGUGGAUGGACUCGCGGCCUAUUAGCUUGUUGGUGGGGUAGUGGGCUACCAAGGCAGCGAAGGGUAGCCGGCCUGAGAGGGUGACCGGCCACAUUGGGACUGCGAUACGGCCCAGACUCCUACGGGAGGCAGCAGUGGGGAAUCUUGCACAAUGGGCGCAAGCCUGAUGCAGCAACGCCGCGUGCGGGAUGACGGCCUUCGGGUUGUAAACCGCUUUCAGCAGGGACGAAGCUUUUUGUGACGGUACCUGCAGAAGAAGCACCGGCUAACUACGUG
rnacentral:rRNA from 1 species